CCUACGGGAGGCAGCAUUAAGGAAUAUUGGUCAAUGGAGGCAACUCUGAACCAGCCAUGCCGCGUGCAGGAAGAAGGCCCUAUGGGUCGUAAACUGCUUUUGUACCAGAGAAAACCCGAGUACGUGUACUCGGUUGAUAGUAUGGUAAGAAUAAGCAUCGGCUAACUUCGUGCCAGCAGCCGCGGUAAGACGAAGGAUGCAAGCGUUAUCCGGAUUCAUUGGGUUUAAAGGGUGCGUAGGCGGACUGAUAAGUCAGUGGUGAAAUCUCUCGGCUUAACCGAGAAACUGCCAUUGAUACUGUUAGUCUAGAGUAUAGAUGACGUUGGCGGAAUAUGACAUGUAGUGGUGAAAUACUUAGAUAUGUCAUAGAACACCGAUUGCGAAGGCAGCUAACGAAACUAUAACUGACGCUGAGGCACGAAAGUGCGGGGAUCAAACAGGAUUAGAUACCCUGGUAGUCCGCACCGUAAACGAUGAUUACUCGUUGUUGGCAAUAUGACCGUCAGCGACCAAGCGAAAGCGAUAAGUAAUCCACCUGGGGAGUACGCCGGCAACGGUGAAACUUAAAGGAAUUGACGG
rnacentral:rRNA from 1 species